rnacentral:lncRNA from 1 species
GUUGAUCUCCUAGCUACAAAAUGUAUCCAAAAUCAAAGAUGUGGAACAUAUUCUAUCAUAAUCAUUUGGUAACUAAUGCAAUUAAUGUCUCUUCCAUGCCCGUCUUGAACAUAAAAACUAAAUAAUAAAUAAACAACACUCCUAAUGCUCAGAUUGUUUGUCAUCGUGCAACACAACUAAUAACACCAUAUAGGAAAAACAUAGAACUCCUUUUGUCAUAAGACACUGUCAAACAUCCAAACAUACUAUCCACACUCAUAUGUGUCCACACUUGUUUAUAAUAAAAAAAU